rnacentral:tRNA from 3 species
GCCCCGUUAGCUCAAUUGGUUAGAGCAUCUGACUCUUAAUCAGAGGGUUCCAGGUUCGAGUCCUGGACGGGGUA